GACGUAGGGGGCGAGCGUUGUCCGGAUUUACUGGGCGUAAAGGGCGUGUAGGCGGCUUAGCAAGUCAGAUGUGGAAGCCCCAGGCUCAACUUGGGGAGGCCAUCUGAUACUGCUAAGCUAGAGGACAGGUGAGGAGAGCGGAACUUCCGGUGUAGCGGUGAAAUGCGUAGAUAUCGGAAGGAACGCCGGUGGCGAAGACGGCUCUCUGGACUGGUCCUGACGCUGAGGCACGAAAGCCAGGGGAGCGAACGGG
rnacentral:rRNA from 1 species